rnacentral:rRNA from 1 species
AACGAACGCUGGCGGCAGGCCUAACACAUGCAAGUCGAACGCAUCGCAAGAUGAGUGGCAGACGGGUGAGUAACGCGUGGGAACCUUCCCAGUGGUGCGGAAUAGCUCAGGGAAACUUGAGGUAAUACCGCAUGAGCCCGCAAGGGGAAAGAUUUAUCGCCAUUGGAUGGGCCCGCGUCGGAUUAGCUAGUUGGUGAGGUAACGGCUCACCAAGGCGACGAUCCGUAGCUGGUUUGAGAGAAUGACCAGCCACACUGGGACUGAGACACGGCCCAGACUCCUACGGGAGGCAGCAGUGGGGAAUAUUGGACAAUGGAUGGAAAUCUGAUCCAGCCAUGCCGCGUGAAGGACGACGGUCCUAUGGAUUGUAAACUUCUUUUGUAUGGGAGCAAUAAGGUCUACGUGUAGAUCGAUGAGAGUACCAUACGAAUAAGCAUCGGCUAACUCCGUG